ACCAAGCCCCCUGCCAUGGCGGGGGCACAGCCCCGGCUCCAGAGCUGGUCACAACUGCAGGACAGGGGUGUGCGGCCCAGCUGCAGCCCUCAGCAGAAACCGCAGGGCUAGAGCUGCAGGGUCCUGGUUCCAGCCAGCCCCAGUUUUAGGGCAGGGGCGCACAGUCCCAGCUCUGCCUCCUGAAGCCGUAGAAGUCAUGGAGGCCCGGUAAAGUCACGGAAUCCAUGACUGCUGUGACCUCCGUGACUAAAUUGUAGCCUUACUCAUCACUGAUCUCUGCCCUGCCCGCCAGCAGUAAACAGGAAUAAACACAGACAGAAGCAAUUAAAAACACUCAGGGACACACAUUGAUCCUUGGUGUAACUCUACUGACUUCAGCAGAGUCACACCAGGCUGGGAUUUGGCCUGUUGACUCAUGUAAAAGAUUUUCCAUUCACUCCCACCAACUAUAAGGCAAAAGAAAUUAUUGAUAAAACAUCUUAAACAGAAUUUCCAAAAAAGGAUCAAUGACUCUCCAACAAGAGAUGCAGUUCUGACACAUCUGAUGACAUAGGUCAAGACACAGAAAAUGCAGCUCACCAUUGGACCAAAUGGGAAACCAGCCAGUUACAAACUGGUAAGGGAAGUUCCCUGCAUAAACCAAACAAGCCCACUAUUAGCUCUCAGAAAUAAAUGAAAAAUCAGAGCUGUGUGAGGGGGCUCAUUUUAAUCUGACCCCCGGUGAGUUCUCGGUGCCUUUGAAACAUCCACUACUUUGGUUUGUUGUUUUAAGUGUAAUGUCCCAGCCAGGAUUUAUGCACUUGCUUACCUUUGCAGGCUGUGAGUUGCUCCACUGAUUUCCUUGGGGUAAUUCACAGUGCAUAGAGUUAAGCAUGGGCGGGACUGGGGCCUAACUGUUUGAGUUUGACUAGCUAGGUGUCUUGUGCAUAGGGGGAAAUCAGGAGCAGAAAUGAUAUAAACUCAUGUCAACUGAUGGUAUAUCAGUGCUAACUGCCUGUGAUGGGGUGUUCACCCCACACCAACUCUGAGAGAUUAAAAUGGUACAGAUAGGUCAAAUUAACCCUGCAGGCCACACCUGGUGGAGAGUGGGCUUGAUUGAAAAUGACUAAUGGCUGAUGGGGAGGGGUGACUAAGGUAUACAGCUAGGAAGUUUGUGGUAGAAAGGGGCUGUAGUGUGGAAGGUGGUAGUUAACCUAUGGGUUAAAGAGGGAAAAGAAAGAAACCUAGAGAGAGAAGCCCUAGGAUCCUGGCCCUGAAGGUAGGGUUUACCCAGAAGCAUGGAGAAGAAAGCCUGUGGGAGGUGUAGUAGGAAGGAGCCCAGGGAAGGAAAAUCAAGGUGAAGGAUUGUGCAGACCUUGGCUGCAGAUUAUAGGGUCCCUGGACUAGAACCUAGAGUAGCAAGUGGGCCUGGGUUCCCCUACCAGCUGCUGGGAAGUGGCACAGGAUUGUGGGAGAUAUCACCUUGCCAGCUGGUCCGGAGGGACUCUGUUGUCCCUGAAGGGGAGGACUAUAGUGACCUGCCUGGAGGGCUGAGUCACGAAGAGGGAGUAACCUGAGUCCAGAGGCCAAGCCUAUGGGGUGAGCAGCCAAAGGAGGGGGCAUCAGACUGGAUGAGAGCUAAUCCCUGGAUGAGACUCAAGGAGGCAUCUCUGCGUCAGAUUUUUGGAGGACAAUGUGGAUGCUCCAACAUUUAAAGGUCUCAGAACAUAAUAUGGUCACAAAUCCAUGAAGCCCUGGUUGUCGUAUCUGUGCAGAUGAAUAACCAAGGUGUGUAGUUUCUGCAAUGAGAUGUCCCAACUGGCCAUCUGUGCACGCAGCUAGGGUAGCGCACACGGGCACACAACUGCUAACUGAUUCAAAGGGAUCAAAUGUGCAUGUGCACACUUAUGCCUGUGCAUGUGUGAAAAUCUGGGCCUAAAACCCCUGCUAACAACCCCUGCCGAUUUUCAUUCAGCUGUAGGGAUGGCAGCUCUCAGCAACACAGCAGCAUAGGAGCAGCUGCUCAGAGGGAGGAGUUAGACAACGAGAAACAGCUGUUUAGUCCUUUCAAAUCCACGCAGGAAGGACAACAUGAGUGCAUUGUAAACUGGUUCCAAGAGAGACACUGAGCGAUGAAAGGCAGCUAGACUGAUAUUAUUCAUCAGAGUCUUCCAGUAUGAAGAAAUCAACAUCGCUGUGAUCCAAGCCUCACUCAUUCUCCCAGAGAGAAGUGAUCACUGAGGGAUUACCCUUCUGCUCUGGGAGUCUACCAGCUCCUACUACACAAUAAAAGAAGGGGUUUCCCUUCAUUCAAAUAUUCCAGUAGCAAAAUGUAUUUAAAUGUGAAAACCGUGUUAACUGAAAGAAUUAUGCAAAUUAAAAAGCAUGUAAAGUAAUUUUAUAUCUAUGCAUGGAAUGCAAACUGUAUAUUUUAUUAAAGAUCUAAGUGACCCAC